AUUGAACGCUGGCGGCAGGCCUAACACAUGCAAGUCGAGCGGAUGAAGAGAGCUUGCUCUCUGAUUUAGCGGCGGACGGGUGAGUAAUGCCUAGGAAUCUGCCUGGUAGUGGGGGAUAACGUCCGGAAACGGGCGCUAAUACCGCAUACGUCCUACGGGAGAAAGCAGGGGACCUUCGGGCCUUGCGCUAUCAGAUGAGCCUAGGUCGGAUUAGCUAGUUGGUGAGGUGAUGGCUCACCAAGGCUACGAUCCGUAACUGGUCUGAGAGGAUGAUCAGUAACACUGGAACUGAGAAACGGUCCAGACUCCUACGGGAGGCAGCAGUGGGGAAUAUUGGACAAUGGGCGAAAGCCUGAUCCAGCCAUGCCGCGUGUGUGAAGAAGGUCUUCGGAUUGUAAAGCACUUUAAGUUGGGAGGAAGGGCAGUAAGUUAAUACCUUGCUGUUUUGACGUUACCGACAGAAUAAGCACCGGCUAACUUCGUGCCAGCAGCCGCUGUAAUAC
rnacentral:rRNA from 1 species